rnacentral:tRNA from 2 species
CGGGGCGUGGCGCAGNCUGGUAGCGCACUUGCAUGGGGUGCAAGGGGUCGCAGGUUCAAAUCCUGCCGUCCCGACCA